rnacentral:rRNA from 1 species
CGUAGGUGGCAAGCGUUGUCCGGAAUUAUUGGGCGUAAAGGGCGCGUAGGCGGUCCCUUAAGUCAGAUGUGAAAUCCCGAGGCUUAACCUCGGGCGUGCAUUGAAACUGGGGGACUAGAGUGCAGGAGAGGUAAGUGGAAUUCCUAGUGUAGCGGUGAAAUGCGUAGAUAUUAGGAGGAACACCAGUGGCGAAGGCGACUUACUGGACUGUAACUGACGCUGAGGCGCGAAAGCGUGGGGAGCAAACAGGAUUAGAUACCCUGGUAGUCCACGCUGUAAACGAUGGAUACUAGGUGUGGGAGGUAUCGACCCCUUCCGUGCCGCAGUAAACGCAAUAAGUAUCCCGCCUGGGGAGUACGGCCGCAAGGCUA